rnacentral:rRNA from 1 species
AACCUGCGGAGGGAUCAUUACCGAGUUUACAACUCCCAAACCCAAUGUGAACGUUACCAAACUGUUGCCUCGGCGGGAUCUCUGCCCCGGGUGCGUCGCAGCCCCGGACCAAGGCGCCCGCCGGAGGACCAACCAAAACUCUUAUUGUAUACCCCCUCGCGGGUUUUUAUUAUAAUCUGAGCCUUCUCGGCGCCUCUCGUAGGCGUUUCGAAAAUGAAUCAAAACUUUCAACAACGGAUCUCUUGGUUCUGCAUCGAUGAAGAACGCAGCGAAAUGCGAUAAGUAAUGUGAAUUGCAGAAUUCAGUGAAUCAUCGAAUCUUUGAACGCACAUUGCGCCCGCCAGUAUUCUGGCGGGCAUGCCUGUCCGAGCGUCAUUUCAACCCUCGAACCCCUCCGGGGGGUCGGCGUUGGGGAUCGGCCCUGCCUUGGCGGUGGGCGUCUCCGAAAUACAGUGGCGGUCUCGCCGCAGCCUCUCCUGCGCAGUAGUUUGCACACUCGCAUCGGGAGCGCGGCGCGUCCACAGCCGUUAAACACCCAACUUCUGAAAUGUUGACCUCGGAUCAGGUAGGAAUACCCGCUGAACUUAAGCAUAUCAAUAAGCG